AGAGCGAUGAUUCCUGCGCCGGCGGAAGAAGAAAGGGAUCAUCCCCCCAGCAGGAAGCUGCUUGUUGACGUUUGGAGAGAGAAAUAAUUCCCCUGCCUAACAUGUGGGUGCCCUCCUGGGGCCAAACAACUCCUGACCCAUCACUAGAACAGCGACGUGGUGCCAACCCUGCAAGUCUGGGCUCAACCCAAGCCCAGUGUUUCCACGAGGCUGACUCAUGAUGAAAAGCCUGAUGUCAGAAAAACAGCUGAAUAAGCCCAUGCAUGAAGGGACUGAUUCCCCAUCCUGGAUCCCACACCAAGGCCACCCAUUAACUCCUCAAGAGCUGCAGCUUCUCCCCACGUACACGGGUGCCUGGUGGGUCCCAAAGCACUUUGGAUUCCCAGGGUCAGGAGCACAACAUGCUGGCUGAACUUGCUGAUUUUUUGUUUGUAAUGGCAACAAAGGGAAAAGCCCAGACAACCCCGGAGCCUUAGGACUGCUCCUUUCAUGUCAGGCUUUCUAACCCUUCAGGGUGAGGAAAUACUAUCCAGUAACGUGGCAUUUGUGUAAAAUGGAUGUUUUGAGAACUGUAUCUGCUCUGGGAAUGUGCACUGGAGCGUCACUGCCUGAGAAAAAAACCCGAAAACAAGGAGCAGCCUUUGCUGCCAAGAUGCAUCUUUGCAGAAUUGCCACUUUCUUUGACAUUUACACCUGCACAUCUCAGCUCUUGGGCAGUUCCCACAAAGCUCUAGGAUGGAUUUCCUCCUUCAGGACUGAAAAUUUAGCAGGAAGACUGUUCCUGGCAGCAGGUUUCUGAAUCAGGCUGGAGCACAGUUUAGUUUAAACAGCCUUUCCCUA